AUUUUUCCAGUACAACACACACAUUCAAGCCCUUCCCAAUAUGCACCAGUCCAGCAGUCCCCCCAUUAGCAACUUCUCUGCCUUAAAGAAAAACACAGAGCUGAAGAACGCGAAGCAUGGAAGCUCAAAGAUUGUUCAAGACAAAAAGCUUCAAAGGAGACAAAAGGAGUAGUAUAAAUUACUAUAUAGCAGCGAAAUUGAAGGUUCAAGCCCUUCCCAAUAUGCCUCAGUCCAGCAGUCCCCCCAUUAGCAACUUCUAUGCCUUAAAGAAAAACACAAAGCUGAUGAACACGAAGUAUGGAAGCUCAAAGAUUGUUCAAGACAAAAAGCUUCAAAGGAGACAAAAGGAGUAGUAUAAAUUACUAUAUUGCAGCGAAAUUGAAGGUAUUUCGUUUUCCAUCUCUUCAAA
rnacentral:lncRNA from 1 species